GAAUAUGGGGGGCCCAUCCUCCAAGGCUAAAUACUCCUGACUGACCGAUAGUGAACCAGUACCGUGAGGGAAAGGCGAAAAGAACCCCGGCGAGGGGAGUGAAAAAGAACCUGAAACCGUGUACGUACAAGCAGUGGGAGCACGCUUAGGCGUGUGACUGCGUACCUUUUGUAUAAUGGGUCAGCGACUUAUAUUCUGUAGCAAGGUUAACCGAAUAGGGGAGCCGAAGGGAAACCGAGUCUUAACUGGGCGUUAAGUUGCAGGGUAUAGACCCGAAACCCGGUGAUCUAGCCAUGGGCAGGUUGAAGGUUGGGUAACACUAACUGGAGGACCGAACCGACUAAUGUUGAAAAAUUAGCGGAUGACUUGUGGCUGGGGGUGAAAGGCCAAUCAAACCGGGAGAUAGCUGGUUCUCCCCGAAAGCUAUUUAGGUAGCGCCUCGUGAAUUCAUCUCCGGGGGUAGAGCACUGUUUCGGCAAGGGGGUCAUCCCGACUUACCAACCCGAUGCAAACUGCGAAUACC
rnacentral:rRNA from 1 species